AGCGCGGGGCAGCAAUGUUCUGGCGGCGACCGGCGGAAGGGUGCGUAACGCGUGAGCGACAUGCCCGUUGCCCGGGGACAACCGGUGGAAACGCCGACUAAUCCCCGAUGGGACGGAGGCCCUCAUGGGUCUCCGUUGAAAGUUACGGCGGCGACGGAUUGGCUCGCGUCCGAUUAGCUUGUUGGCGGGGUAACGGCCCACCAAGGCUACGAUCGGUAGGGGUUCUGAGAGGAAGGUCCCCCACAAUGGAACUGAGACACGGUCCAUACUCCUACGGGAGGCAGCAGUGAGGAAUAUUGGUCAAUGGGCGGAAGCCUGAACCAGCCAUGCCGCGUGCGGGAAGGAGGCCCUAUGGGCUGUGAACCGCUUUUGCCUGGGGGCAAUAAGGGCGUCGUGCACGUCCGAUGAGAGUACCAGGCGAAUAAGCAUCGGCUAACUCCGUGCCAGCAGCCGCGGUAAUACGGGGGAUGCGAGCGUUAUCCGGAUUCAUUGGGUUUAAAGGGUGCGUAGGCUGUGCGUCAAGUCAGGGGUGAAAUUUCCGGGGCUCAACUCCGG
rnacentral:rRNA from 1 species